GGAGGCGUACCGAAGUGGCUAUAACGGCGCAGACUUGAAAUCUGUUGUGUCAGCUAGUACCUGACGCGGGGGUUCAAAUCCUCCCGCCUCCGCCA
rnacentral:tRNA from 1 species